ACUCCCUCCUUCACUCUCCUCUUCUCUCAAUCCCUUCUCCCUCACGGCUCACAAACCACCAGCUGCCGCCUCCACCUUCCCCAACCAGCUGCCACCUCCUCACUUCCCCCACCAACAAGUAGCCGGCAGCCCCGCGAGCAGCAGGAGCAGGCUACGCUGCACCCUCACGCAGCAGCAUAAGGCUGCGUCCCCUCUCACCCACCCACGGCAACUGAGUUGCAAAACAACCACCGGCAAACGACCGAUAGCAGCAGCCGUUCCUCGGUCUUCUAGCAGCAGCCACGGUUGCCUCCUUGGUCCCCUAACAGCAGUGGGCUACUGUAAAGCCAUAGCACCACCACAACACCACUUAGUCUUCACUCCUUUUUUUUCUAAUUGCCCCAUUGUGCCCAUUUCGUAAGAGGAAAGUAGAGCCUUAGUUGGGGGAUUUUUUGUAACUUUUGGUCGUGCAGUGACGCUUGCAGCAGGAGGAUCAUAGACAGGCGUAACAGGUAUUGGAGCUUCUUUUGCAUUGUAUUGCAUUGGGGGAGAGUGAUGAGGGCGAAGCACAACUUGUGUCAUGCCGCUAUCUUUCGAUUUUGUAGCUCUUGUUAUCUUUUGUAAACUUUGGUUGUAUAUAUUUUGUUAUGAGGCCUUGUGUCCUCCCUUGUAUGUUUGUAUUUCCGCUGCGUAGUUUAUAACUUUGUAUGGUUUUAAGGAGUCAAGUCAUUUUAAAACGCAAGCGUUGACACUGGAACCACGAUCCAUGCUUGGCAUGUUGAUUUGAGAAGCCGGCGACGAAUCAUUCCGCCGUGACCUAGUAUUGUUAGGCCGUUGAUGCCUUUACUUUAUUAGAUUCUAAAUAACUUUUGUUUUUCUACAAAGGCGCACAGUUUUAGGGCAGAUGCUGCCGAAAUUUCUACUCAUCUUUUAAAGCUAAUAUUUAAACAUUUAUUAAAUUCUUUUCCUUUUUCUUUUAUGUAACACCCGAAUUUCCUCCCGUCCUUUACGGUUUUGGUUCAGUUAAGGGGUCGGAAAUUCAGGGGUGUUACACAUGUGCAAUUGA